AUCAAAAUCUGCCAUUACUUUCAUCACAGCGUCAUCCUUGUCGAAGUCUAUCUCUUCAAAUCUGAUUCCUAUAAUCAAUGCUUUCAAUUCGGAAGGUGAAAGACGACCGUCACCGUUCUCAUCGAUUGUCUCGAACAACCUGUCCAAUGUUGUUUAGAAAGUUUGUAAAUGUUAAGAGUAACCGGAAGGAAGUACCAGGAGAAAUUGGAAGCUUUUGCUUUAAUGUUAAAGGUUCAAAACUAACUUUCUUAUGAUCUCUGUAUUAGGUUCACCAUCCUCGGUAAGAAGCUUUCCAAAAGCUUGCUUUUUCAAGUGUCUUAAGAUUCCCGAUAUAACAUGUUUGUGCUUCACAAAAGCUAGUCUUCUUCUCUGGAUCCAUGGCUGAAAUACCUGCAAAUUACAUAUAUCAUAAGAUACAACUACUAGAAGAGUAGAAGUGUCAUGAAGGUGUCUUCCUGAAGUUGAAUUGAGAACUUGGGGUAGUUGAACAAUAACAAAGGGGAUAACUGAUAUAGCCAUUAUACUUGCAGCAUAGCAAGUCCAAAUAUCGGUACUCACACCAGUCUCUGCAAUAUUGUACACAAUUUAGAUUAGCAAAUAUUUUGCCAUUGAAGAUUAGAGUCGCGCCUAGUUUUCCAGCCCACUUUCUGAAGUUAUUUUGACUGUGUUACUUUGAUUUUUCAUUUUUUCUUGAACUACUUGUAUUUGACACAUAUAAAGACAUGUUUAUAGGGAUAUGGCAUACUCAUAUUUGACAUUUACUCGUACCUAACACUUGCACUCAAGUCAGUUAUAUAGAACUCAGUCAAACAGACUUGGUAACUGUAUAAUGCUUGCUAUAACAAUCUAUGUUGCUUCAACUCAUUUUUUCUCUAAAGUACUCAUGUCUGCCACUUGUAUUUGACAUAUUCAAAUAUGGGUAUAGUAGUAGGAUUCCCUAAAGUACUCCCGAGUCCAAGUAUAGAAAAUAAUAACUUCGCAACCAGUCAUAGUAAACUAUCUAAGAAUGAUGUAAAGCAGAGUUGUGCACCUGUUAGGUGAAAUCCUUUUGUAAUAGUUCCAUCAACCGCAACUGAGUCACGAAUAUCACAGCGGCCAACAACAACACAGGAACCCCAUAUCACAGUGAGAAGCAUGACAGUUGACCCUGCUAGCAACCCCAUUCCUACUGAGACCUGAUCUUGAGCUGUUUCUGCUGUUCCAGAAAGUCCAGAUACUGGCAAGAACAAAGCAAAUUAAAACCGCACUAGAUGUAAAACUACUAAGUGAGGCCAAAUGAUGGCCUGAUAAUCAUUUAAAACUAAUUGCUUCUAUGAAUCAAUUACUAGUAAUAUAAGCAACAUGCUUUAGACCUCAUUGAGUUUUUAUCUCUUAAUUUCAUUUUUUUUCAUUUAUGUAACUGUUUUUAUAUAGAAAUUAGUAGUGUGAUUGUUAAUA